GAUGAACGCUGGCGGCGUGCUUAACACAUGCAAGUCGAACGGGAUCUGACCAGCUUGCUGGUUGGUGAGAGUGGCGAACGGGUGAGUAAUGCGUGACCAACCUGCCCCAUGCUCCAGAAUAGCUCUUGGAAACGGGUGGUAAUGCUGGAUGCUCCAACUUGACGCAUGUCUUGUUGGGAAAGUGUUUAGUGGCAUGGGAUGGGGUCGCGUCCUAUCAGCUUGUAGGCGGGGUAAUGGCCCACCUAGGCUUCGACGGGUAGCCGGCCUGAGAGGGCGGACGGCCACAUUGGGACUGAGAUACGGCCCAGACUCCUACGGGAGGCAGCAGUGGGGAAUAUUGCGCAAUGGGGGAAACCCUGACGCAGCGACGCCGCGUGCGGGAUGAAGGCCUUCGGGUUGUAAACCGCUUUUGAUUGGGAGCAAGCUUUCGGGUGAGUGUACCUUUCGAAUAAGCGCCGGCUAACUACGUGCCAGCAGCCGCGGUAAUACGUAGGGCGCAAGCGUUAUCCGGAAUUAUUGGGCGUAAAGAGCUUGUAGGCGGUUCGUCGCGUCUGGUGUGAAAGCCCAUCGCUUAACGGUGGGUCUGCGCCGGGUACGGGCGGGCUAGAGUGCAGUAGGGGAGACUGGAAUUCCCGGUGUAACGGUGGAAUGUGUAGAUAUCGGGAAGAACACCAAUGGCGAAGGCAGGUCUCUGGGCUGUUACUGACGCUGAGAAGCGAAAGCGUGGGGAGCGAACAGG
rnacentral:rRNA from 1 species